CAGCCGUGCAGGUCUGCCCCUGAGAGGAAGUGUGGUCAGCAUUCCCAUGGAGCCCUGACCGGACCGCUCAGGAGUGGGCAUUCAGCAAGGAUCUUUGUCUGAUAUUCUGAACCCCAGAGUCAUAUGAGAAGAAGAAAAAUGAAUGGAUGAAGGAAUAAGUCUCUUCUUCAACUCAGAUCACAUCAUCAUUCUCUACUCUGUGCUGUGGUCCAGAAGCUGACCUCUAUGGACUAUUUUAACCAGUUUCCCACCACUUUGGCGUCUGUCUGGGCUUCCUGAUGUGAAAUAGGAAGAACAUUCCUUUCUUCAUUUGACAGCUGAAGGAAAUGAAUUAUAGAAUGAAAGAAUUCAGGUGGAAAGAAAAGGUAAAGUACUCUGAACAAUUUCUGGUUAAUGGUAGAGCUAGGACUAAAAUCCAGUCUUGUAAUUGUAGCACAGUUUUUUAAAAUAAUGUAUCAAAAUUCUAUUUAUGAGUUAGAAUACAUAGGCAGUACUGCAUCACAUUUUCCAUUGGCUAUUUAUUUUUAAAUUGAAAAAAAAAAUUCCAUAAUUGGGAUAAAAAAUUUAUUAAAAAAUAUGUACAGUAUAACAAUGGCUAGAUGAAGAAACAUUCUUGGAGAUUCAAAGAGUUUUCUUGACAUAUGAUGUGGCUUUCAGACCAAUACGACUGGGCAAAAGUGCCUAUCUAGUAAGUUUUAAAAUCAUGACCAUUACCUUCAUGUUAUCUGCAAACAGCAGAGUUUUGGGAGCAUAUCUACAAAAAAUAUAUACAUUAUAUAUGAAUAUUUAGAUUACAUUUAUAAUCAUACUAAUAAUGAUAUUUUCUCUUUUUAAAAGGACAUUAGAUUAAUUGCUCGUUUAUGUAGCUAUAAAGUGUUAUUUUUUUCUAAAGGCUUAUAUAAAACACCGUUUAUAAUGAAGUCAUCCCUUUUUUGCAUAAAUGGCUUUGGUUAGCCUGAUGUGAAGAGGGACAAAAAUUAACACUGGGUCCCUUCUGUCACAGGAUGUUGUAUUUUAUGCUUUACAGAUAUUAUCUCAGUUAAUAAACUCUUGCCUUUCUUGUGUUUUUUUUUUUGAAUCCUGUUACAUUGUUCAGUUUUUACUUGUAAAAAGUAUUAUAGAAGAGUUUUAUUGUAAUGUUAUUUUAUUAAGCCAUUUUCAUGGGUUAUUUUUUUUUUAAAGUUUAAGAAGUUUUUACAACAGGCUGGGUGUGGUGGCUCACACCUGUCAUCCCAGCACUUUGGGAGGCCCGGGCGGGCAGAUACCUGAGGUCGGGAGUUCAAGACCAGCCUGACCAACAUGGAGAAACCUCGUCUCUACUAAAAAUACAAAAUAAAAUACAAAAAUUAGCCGGGCAUGGUGGCACAUGCCUGUAAUCCCGGCUACUCGGGAGGCUGAGGCAGGAGAAUUGCUUGAACCUGCGAGGCGGGGGUUGUGGUGAGCUGAGAUCGUGCCAUUGCACUCCAGCCUGGGCAACAAGAGUGAAACUCCGUCUCAAAAAAAAAAAAAAAAGUUUUUACAACAGACAUAGACGUCAUUGCUUCAACAAUUAUCAACAUUUUACCAAUCUUGUUUCAUCUAUCCCCCCACUUAUUUUUGCCAUCUUUCAGAGCAAAUGAUAAUUUUCUUACUGUAGAAAAUUAAAACAUCAAUUAUCUUUCAGAGUUCCACACCAACUGCAUCUCAAACGUGAAUAAACUUAUUUAAAAUUGUUUCUCUACUAGAUAAAUAAUUAUCAGCUUGCUACCUCCUAUAGCAACCUAGGUAUUUUCUCUCUCUCUUUUUCUUUUUUUUUUUUUUGAGAUGGAGUUUCGCUCUUGCUGCUCAGGCUGGAGUGCAAUGGCACAAUCUCAGCUCACUGCAACCUCUGCCUCCCGCGUUCAAGCCAUUCUCCUGUCUCAGCCUCCUGAGUAGCUGGGAUUACAGGCGUAUGCCACCAUGCCCGGCUAAUUUUUGUAUUUUAUUUUAUUUUUUUAGUAGAGACGGGGUUUCAUCAUAUUGGUCAGGCUGGUGUCAAACUCCUGACCUCAGGUGAUCCGCCUGCCUCGGCCUCCCAAAAUGCUGGGGUUACAGGCAUAAGCCACCGCGCCUGACCCAUUUUCUUUUUUUUUACUUCCUGCACAAGGGGGAAAUUAGCAUUGUUUUAGAGUAAAAAAACCUGAAUCUGAAUCCUGGUUCUGUUUAUUGUUAGCUUCAGGGACUCUCAGCAAAAUUACUAAACCUCUCUCACCUUCAGUUUUCUUGUUGGUAAAAAUGGGGAUAAUCACACUUUUAAAACAAUACCUUUGAAGCUCUUUAUUCCUUUUAUUCAUUCAGUAAAUGUCUACUGAGUGUCUUUUAUGCCCCAAGUGUUAAACUAAGGGCUGGAGAGAGAGUAGGGGGUAAACCUAGACGCUGCUUCUAUUUUAGUGCAGUGCCAACCUGUUACAAGGUUUGUCUUUUUUUUUUCCAGGUUAGGUUUAUCUUUUUUUUUAUUAUUAUUAUACUUUAAGUUUUAGGGUACAUGUGCACAACGUGCAGGUUUGUUACAUAUGUAUACAUGUGCCAUGAUGGUGUGUGUUACAAGGUUUUUCAAACUCUGGAUGACAAAUGGAGAUAGGCUGUAAAAUCAACUUGUGAACAAUUUUCUAAUGAAAAGGAUAAAAAUAUAUUUCAACACACAUGGUAAGGAUGACUCUUGUUUCAUAAAACUUAUUUUUGUUUAUAUACGUGUAUGUAUGUAUAUUUAUAUGUACUGUAUAUGUUAUAUAUGUGUGUGUAUAUCAUUGGCUUUUGAUGUAUAAUAUAUUUAAUGUAUUUCUUCCCAUGGGUGUGGUUAAAAUAAAACUCUUAAAGCCACUGAUGCAUCAGGAGAGGCAGAUAUUAAUCAAAUAAUCACAUUAAUGAAUAUAUAAAUACAAAUUAAGAAAACCACUCCAAAGCAAAGAAACAUGAUUUUAUGAGAGUAUAUAAUUAAAGUACCUGAGCUACACUGGAGAGUCAUGAAAAGCAUGAUAAAAGGAUUUCUGAUUUGAAUAUGAAGAAUGAGUAAGAGCUAAGUAGGGGUGUGUGUGUGCAGGUAUGUAGGUGGGGAGAGACAAAGGGAGGGAAAUAGGGAGGGAAAGAAGGAGAGGGAGAGAGAGGAAAAGAUAGACAUGAAGUGGAAGUGCUCCAUCAUUGUGUGCAAAGAGAACAUAUGUGCAAAGGCCUUGGUUCAUGUCUUCCUUAUAUCUUAUACUCUAGCUAUUAUCAACUGCUAGUACUAUCCCUGAGAAUACCAAGAUAACUCAUAUGUUGGCUCCGUGACAUGUGCUACUUCCACUACUUAAAGCGUCCUUUUCUUAUUCUUGCCUUCUGAUUAAAGAUUUUUUAGCUGUUAAGACUCAGCUCAAGUGUCAUCUUCUCUGUGAAGUCAUAUCUGACUCCUCUCCCCUCAAGAGUUGCGUGCAUCCUCUUUUGUUUCCCCAGUGUAGCCUGAAAUCAAUUAUGGCUUCUAAAUAUAUUUACAGUAUUUGCUAAUCCCUGGCACUUGCUGUACAAUAGGUGUUAAAUAAAUGUUCAAUAUGUUAAGUAUUCAAAAAUGGUUGGCAGACGAAUGAAUGUGGCUACAAAAACGUUCUUAGAAGAUUCAUGCACGAAUGACCAAAUAAGUAAUAUUUUCUAACACAAAGUUUUAUAUUUGUUAUAUAUACUUUUUGCUGAUCCAUAUAUAUUGUUUCCUUCAAAAUUUGAGUCAACAUCUUAAGAAUGUUUAGAAAGACUGCUUUGGCUGGGCAAAUCACUUCAGCUCAGGAGUUUGAGACAAAGCUGGGCAACAUGGCAAAACCCCACCUCUACAAAAAUACA
rnacentral:lncRNA from 1 species